rnacentral:misc_RNA from 1 species
GUGAAUCAUCGAAUUUUUGAACGCAAAUUGCACUCUCCUCGGAGAGUAUGCCGGUUUGAGGGUCAGCCUAUAAAAAAUCGACAGCGUUGCGGUUUCGCGGUGGCGUUCGUCGGAAAUUGGGUCAUCUUAAAGCUUUUGGUUUUAAGCGACUUAAAAUUUUCUUUUUGGUUCCAUGAACGUUGCUAAGAUUUAUUUCUUUACACGUUUAAGGUAUCGUUUUUUAUUAGAGUUGACCAUCAUAUCGGAUCGUGCCCAAAAUUUUGCAUGAAAUGA